rnacentral:rRNA from 1 species
CCUACGGGUGGCUGCAGUGGGGAAUAUUGAACAAUGGGGGGAACCCUGAUCCAGCCAUGCCGCGUGUGUGAAGAAGGCCCUCGGGUUGUAAAGCACUUUCAGUGAGGAAGAACGCCUGGUGGUUAAUACCCAUCAGGAAAGACAUCACUCACAGAAGAAGCACCGGCUAACUCCGUGCCAGCAGCCGCGGUAAUACGGAGGGUGCGAGCGUUAAUCGGAAUUACUGGGCGUAAAGCGCGCGUAGGUGGCUUGAUAAGCCGGUUGUGAAAGCCCCGGGCUCAACCUGGGAACGGCAUCCGGAACUGGCAAGCUAGAGUGCAGGAGAGGAAGGUAGAAUUCCCGGUGUAGCGGUGAAAUGCGUAGAGAUCGGGAGGAAUACCAGUGGCGAAGGCGGCCUUCUGGACUGACACUGACACUGAGGUGCGAAAGCGUGGGUAGCAAACAGGAUUAGAUACCCGAGUAGUC